rnacentral:rRNA from 1 species
AGUGGCGAACGGGUGAGUAACACGUGGGCAACCUGCCCAAAAGAGGGGGAUAACACUUGGAAACAGGUGCUAAUACCGCAUAACCAUAGUUACCGCAUGGUAACUAUGUAAAAGGUGGCUAUGCUACCGCUUUUGGAUGGGCCCGCGACGCAUUAGCUAGUUGGUGGGGUAAAGGCUUACCAAGGCAAUGAUGCGUAGCCGAACUGAGAGGUUGAUCGGCCACAUUGGGACUGAGACACGGCCCAAACUCCUACGGGAGGCAGCAGUAGGGAAUCUUCCACAAUGGGCGAAAGCCUGAUGGAGCAACGCCGCGUGGGUGAAGAAGGUCUUCGGAUCGUAAAACCCUGUUGUUAGAGAAGAAAGUGCGUGAGAGUAACUGUUCACGUUUCGACGGUAUCUAACCAGAAAGCCACGGCUAACUACGUGCCAGCAGCCGCGGUAAUACGUAGGUGGCAAGCGUUAUCCGGAUUUAUUGGGCGUAAAGAGGACGCAGGCGGUCUUUUAAGUCUGAUGUGAAACCCUUCGGCUUAACCGGAGUAGUGCAUUGGAAACUGGGAGACUUGAGUGCAGAAGAGGAGAGUGGAACUCCAUGUGUAGCGGUGAAAUGCGUAGAUGUAUGGAAGAACACCAGUGGCGAAAGCGGCUCUCUGGUCUGUAACUGACGCUGAGGUUCGAAAGCGUGGGUAGCAAACA